rnacentral:rRNA from 1 species
CCUACGGGGGGCAGCAGUGAGGAAUCUUGGUCAAUGGACGCAAGUCUGAACCAGCAAUGCCGCGUGCAGGAAGACGGCUCUAUGAGUUGUAAACUGCUUUUGUACGAGGGUACACGCAGAUACGUGUAUCUGUCUGCAAGUAUCGUACGAAUACGGAUCGGCCAACUCCGUACCAGCAGCCGCGGUAAUACGGAGGAUUCAAGCGUUACCCGGAUUUAUUGGGUUUAAGGGGUGCGUAGGCGGUCGGAUAAGUUAGAGGUGAAAUCCCGGGGCUCAACUUCGGCAUUGCCUCUGAUACUGUUCGGCUAGAGAGUAGUAGCGGUAGGCGGAAUGUAUGGUGUAGCGGUGAAAUGCUUAGAGAUCAUACAGAACACCGAUUGCGAAGGCAGCUUACCAAGCUACUUCUGACGUUGAGGCACGAAAGCGUGGGGAGCAAACAGGAUUAGAUACCCCAGUAGUC